GUUGAAGCACAUUUUUGUAGAUAUGUAGUUAUUGUGUUUUAUUUUCUGCAUGAUCUCCUGGUCCGUGAAAAAAUUGUAUUUCGCGAAAUUGAUGCAAAAACCAGUCGAGGGGCACUGUUUGAGAUAAUUGAUAUUUUACACACACGCAUAUUAUUUCGUCAGCGAAACUGUGGCUGAAGAUGAAAUAUCAGCUUCAUUGUUUGAUACCAACAAGAAAUAAAUCUGAAAAUCUUGAAACGUUGAUGUCAAAGAGUUAAAAGUUAUUAAUUAAAACCUCUGAAAAUCUCAAUUUAACGAGGAGAUGGUUUGGUAAAAGGGUAAAACACUAACUAGUUCACUGUUUACAUCUCAACUCGAAUAUCAAAUGUAAUUGGCAUAAAAAUCAUUUUCGAGAUGCAUUAUCAAUGUUUAUCGUCUUUGAAACA